UACGUAGGGUGCGAGCGUUAAUCGGAAUUACUGGGCGUAAAGCGUGCGCAGGCGGUUUUGUAAGCCAGAUGUGAAAGCCCCGGGCUUAACCCGGGAAUGGCAUUGAAUACUGCUGAUCUGGAGGAUUGGAGGGGGGACUGGAAUUCUUGGUGUAGCAGUGAAAUGCGUAGAUAUCAAGAGGAACACCAGUGGCGAAGGCGAGUCCCUGGACAAUACCUGACACUGAGGCACGAAAGCUAGGGGAGCAAACAGG
rnacentral:rRNA from 1 species